rnacentral:rRNA from 1 species
AUUGAACGCUAGCGGGAUGCUUUACACAUGCAAGUCGAACGGCAGCGCGGACUUCGGUCUGGCGGCGAGUGGCGAACGGGUGAGUAAUGUAUCGGAACGUGCCCAGUAGCGGGGGAUAACUACGCGAAAGCGUAGCUAAUACCGCAUACGCCCUACGGGGGAAAGCAGGGGAUCGUAAGACCUUGCACUAUUGGAGCGGCCGAUAGCGGAUUAGCUAGUUGGUGAGGUAACGGCUCACCAAGGCGACGAUCCGUAGCUGGUUUGAGAGGACGACCAGCCACACUGGGACUGAGACACGGCCCAGACUCCUACGGGAGGCAGCAGUGGGGAAUUUUGGACAAUGGGGGCAACCCUGAUCCAGCCAUCCCGCGUGUGCGAUGAAGGCCUUCGGGUUGUAAAGCACUUUUGGCAGGAAAGAAACGUCGCGGGCUAAUACCCCGUGGAACUGACGGUACCUGCAGAAUAAGCACCGGCUAACUACGUG